rnacentral:lncRNA from 1 species
AUGAUAAUUAUAAUAAUAAUGAUGAUAAUAAUAAUGGGAAGUGAAGGGUGCAGUGCCUGCCCCGCAGUCCACAACAAACCGUUCCCCAAAACGUCCAAAACGAGCAACAACGAGCGACUUGGGAAGCGCACAGCGGUCUCAAUUCUCCCUUUUUUAAUAUUUCUUUUCAUAAAAAGCCGGCGGGUGCUCUUCCCGGAGCCAGGCCGCGUUUGGUGGCUUCACCCCGGGGGCUGCCCCGAGCCCCUCACCCUCCACACCCCCGCACCGGCGGGCGCGGAGCCUUCACCACCCUCACCCCCGUGCCGUCAGGACCCCUUUAUUUUUUAUUUUAUUUUUUUUAAUUCUUUCCCUGGGAGGGCCUGGGCGGCGCCGAGCGCCCCGCCGGAGCCCUGCAUUUCCUCUUCCUCCCGGAGCAGGGGAGGAAGGGGCCGGCGGCGCCCCCUCAGCCCCGCCGCCGCCGUUGCUGCGGCAGCGGGCGGAGAGGGAGGGAAGGCAAAGAGAAGGAAGGGAAGGGAAAGGAAGGGAAGGAAGGGAAAGGAAGGGAAGGGAAGGAGGGACGGAGGGAGGCGGCGCCAGGGGCCGGCGGGGCCCGGAGUCACCGUGUCACGGCGCCCGGGAAGCCGCCGCCGCCGGAUCCGCCCCCCGCAGGGCGAGCGAGGGAGGGAGAGAGGAAGAGGAGGAGGAGGAGGAGGAAGAGGAGGAGGAGGAGGGGGAGGAGGGGGCCGGCUGCUCGCCGCCUCUCAUCUUUUGGCCUCCUUUCGGCCCCUCUCCUCUCGCACCGGGGCUCCGUGCGUGCAGCAGCGGCAGCAGCAGCGGCAGCGGCGGGGGGUGGCCAGGCCGCAGCGGCGCUCCGAGCAGCCCCGCCACGGGCCCGGGCUGGCCGCCUCCGGACUAGGAUGUCCCGGCAUGAAGGUCAGAUUUGGUCUUCCCCCAUCACUUCUGCCAUGUCCUGGUGCCAGAUUCUUUUUGGGAGGCAAUGUUUCUUGUCUUGACUGACAAGAGGUGCUGUCUCUG